GGCGAAUGAUAAGUAGUAGUGCCAUAGGUAACCGUCGGCAGAUUACCUGUUGUCUGCUACUUACCAUUUACC
rnacentral:pre_miRNA from 1 species